GAAAUGCGAUACGUGAUGCGAAUCGCAGAGAUCGGCGAGUCAUCCAAGUUUCGAACGCACCCUGCGCUCUUGGUGUUCCUGAGAGCACGUCCUUCUGAGCGACGCCCUAUUCCUUCUCUACCUCACUCAGGUAGAUGGAUCAUGGACACUCGCUGUGAUAUACAAGUCAGUGGCGAUGUCCUGAGUAAAAGAGAUCGCUGUACCUUGUCUGCACAAGAACGGUACCGCAUUGGCAACGAGGGGACUCCUCCCUUCAAGCCCAGUGCAAUGGUGCUGUCUUGUGAAGUGGGUACAGCAGUCUUCAUAGAGACGAUAGAGUGCCACCAUCAAGGACCGACCUCUGAUCGGGCGCCACAACCCGCCGAACUUAA
rnacentral:misc_RNA from 1 species